GUGUGCAUGGUGUAACAAACACACUAGCUUUUCAUGCUAGAGACAUAUUAAAAUAUUACACAC
rnacentral:tRNA from 1 species